ensembl:lncRNA
AUAAGGGUGGUGUCGUCUGCAUAUCUGAGGUUAUUGAUAUUUCUCCCGGCAAUCUUGAUUCCAACUUGUGCUUCUUCCAGCCCAGCGUUUCUCAUGAUGUACUCUGCAUAUAAGUUAAAUAAGCAGAGUGACAGUAUACAGCCUUGACGUACUCCUUUUCCUCUUUGGAACCAGUCUGUUGUUCCAUGUCCAGUUCUAACUGUUGCUUCCUGACCUGCAUAUAGGUUUCUCAAGAGGCAGGUCAGGUGGUUUGGUAUUCCCAUCUCUUUCAGAAUUUUCCACAGUUUAUUGUGGUCCACACAGUCAAAGGCUUUGGCAUAGUCAAUCAAGCAGAAAUAGAUGUUUUUCUGGAAGUCUCUUGCCUUUAAUUAGGCUCAAGUCAGUGUUCCACUGGCCUAUUUUGCAUGAUUUCAGGGAUCAUUAUUCCAAGUCCUCAAGGUGCUGGAAUCACCCUGACACCAAAACCCUGGGGUCUACUUCCAGCCCCUCAAUCUCUCCAGGAACAAGGCUCAAUCUCCUUAUUCAGGUAUUAAGGAGGCAGGACCUCAUGGGACAUCUGAAGAACCUGGCAGUGGAGGGGAUAGAGGCAGGUAAAUGAAAGUUUGAGACAGGACUGAGCUCUGAAGCAUGAAUGGAGGAGUCUGGCCAUGCUCUGAGCCUGAGGCUCCUGCCUCACCCUGGUUCUUCUAGCAAGUAGCUGCAGCUCCUCUAGAAUGUGCUAAGUGAAGGAAGCAGAUAUUUGGUUUCACUUUUUGAAGUAAUAACAACUUAGAGAAACUGGCAGCGAUAAGAUCCCUCCGGGGCUUCUGCUUCAAUGAUGCAACUGGGGCUGAGACAGAGCAGCUGUGAUGCAAAUAGCUUGGGCCAGCCCACAAGGAAUCUCUGGGAAGAAAAUUGAUCCUCUGGAUCUGUGCCAUCACCUUUAUUUCACGUGCCUGAUUUGUGACCCACCUGGAAAGCAGGGAUGCUGCAGCUCACAAGAGGCUCAUAGUUACAGAAAGUAGACAGCCCAGACUAAACAAAUGCCAGCCCUUAAACUGCUUGUGCAGGAACUGAAGAACAGACUUCCUCAGGGGUUUACUCUGUCCUUCUGUGUCAAAACAGAACUGCUGACUUCGGUGAAAAGGACACGCACUUUGCAAGAUCAUUUCCAGUAGUGAUGACAGUUACGAUGGACCAUGGGGCCUCAUACUUUCCUUUCCUUAACUUAUAAAUCACAUCCUGCCUUCUCUUCCCUCUUGGAAAAAAAAUCUUUGGUCACCUACUAAUUACAAAAGCUAAUAAAAUGACCCAUCCAUGUUCACCUCCAAUGAUCACAGUAGAAACAAGAUAAGACAGGUAGAAAGACAUGUUUGGUUGGUAAAAAUGCCAAAAGGAAAGUCAAUAUUAUUUCCGUGAAUUGCACAUUCAGGGAGCUAAAAGAAAGCGGUCAAAGAAAAUAGCCAAAUAGCCAAAGAAAGAAGGAAGGAAGGUAUAUGUUCAGGCCACUCAAGAUGGUUGCUCUCUUGCUCUCUGUACAUCCCCCACAGACUAGUCCUGCUU